AGCAGUAGCCACGGUAAUACAGAGGGUGCGAGCGUUAAUCGGAUUUACUGGGCGUAAAGCGUGCGUAGGCGGCUUUUUAAGUCGGAUGUGAAAUCCCUGAGCUUAACUUAGGAAUUGCAUUCGAUACUGGGAAGCUAGAGUAUGGGAGAGGAUGGUAGAAUUCCAGGUGUAGCGGUGAAAUGCGUAGAGAUCUGGAGGAAUACCGAUGGCGAAGGCAGCCAUCUGGCCUAAUACUGACGCUGAGGUACGAAAGCAUGGGGAGCAAACAGGAUUAGAUACCCGCGUAGUCCCUGUCUCUUAUAC
rnacentral:rRNA from 1 species